rnacentral:misc_RNA from 1 species
GAUGAAGAACGUAGCGAAAUGCGAUAAGUAAUGCGAAUUGCAGAAUUUCCGUGAAUCAUCGAGUCUUUGAACGCACAUUGCGCCCCCUGGUAUUCCGGGGGGCAUGCCUGUCCGAGCGUCAUUGCUGCCCAUCAAGCACGGCUUGUGUGUUGGGUCCCGUCCCCCUCUCCCGGGGGACGGACCCGAAAGGCAGCGGCGGCACCGCGUCCGGUCCUCGAGCGUAUGGGGCUUUGUCACCCGCUCUUGUAGGCCCGGCCGGCGCUUGCCGACACCCAACCAUUUUUUUCAGGUUGACCUCGGAUCAGGUAGGGAUACCCGCUGAACUUAAGCAUAUCAAUAAGCGGAGGA